AUGAUCAUACACUAAGUGGUUAGAGCGUCUGCCUCGGAAACAGGAGGUCGCGGGGUCGAACCCUGGCUGAGUCACG